AACGAACGCUGGCGGCAUGCCUAACACAUGCAAGUCGAACGAGACCUUCGGGUCUAGUGGCGCACGGGUGCGUAACGCGUGGGAACCUGCCCUCAGGUUCGGAAUAACGUCGGGAAACUGACGCUAAUACCGGAUAAUGUCUUCGGACCAAAGAUUUAUUGCCUGGGGAUGGGCCCGCGUUGGAUUAGCUAGUUGGUGGGGUAAAGGCUCACCAAGGCGACGAUCCAUAGCUGGUCUUAGAGGAUGAUCAGCCACACUGGGACUGAGACACGGCCCAGACUCCUACGGGAGGCAGCAGUGGGGAAUAUUGGACAAUGGGCGAAAGCCUGAUCCAGCAAUGCCGCGUGAGUGAUGAAGGCCUUAGGGUUGUAAAGCUCUUUUACCAGGGAUGAUAAUGACAGUACC
rnacentral:rRNA from 1 species